GCAGGCUGCAACCCGCCUGCAUGAAGUUGGAAUUGCUAGUAAUCGCGGAUCAGCAUGCCGCGGUGAAUACGUUCCCUGGCCUUGUACACACCGCCCGUCACACCAUGGGAGCCGGUAAUACCCGAAGUCAGUAGCCUAACCGCAAGGGGGGCGCUGCCGAAGGUAGGAUUGGCGACUGGGGUGAAGUCGUAACAAGGUAGC
rnacentral:rRNA from 1 species